rnacentral:rRNA from 1 species
AAUGAACGUUGGCGGCGUGGAUUAGGCAUGCAAGUCGAGCGAGAACCGUAGCAAUACGGGGACAGCGGCGAAAGGGAGAGGAAUACGCGGGUACCUACCCUCGGAUCUGGGAUAGCCACGGGAAACUGUGGGUAAUACCAGAUAACGUCUUCGGACCAAAGGUGUGAUUCCGUCCGAGGAGGGGCCCACGUCCUAUUAGCUAGUUGGUGGGGUAAUGGCCUACCAAGGCAAUGAUGGGUACGGGGCGUGAGAGCGUGCCCCCGCUCACUGGGACUGAGACACUGCCCAGACACCUACGGGUGGCUGCAGUCGAGGAUCUUCGGCAAUGGGCGCAAGCCUGACCGAGCGACGCCGCGUGCGGGAUGAAGGCCUUCGGGUUGUAAACCGCCGUCGGAAGGGAGGAAAUGCCUAGGGGUUCUCCCCUAGGUUUGACCUAUCUUCAGAGGAAGUACGGGCUAAGUUCGUGCCAGCAGCCGCCGUAA